GUAGGUGAACCUGCGGAAGGAUCAUUACUGAGAUAGGGUCCCCUGGGCCCGAACCUCCCACCCCGUGCGUACCUUACCUUUGUUGCUUUGGCGGGCCCGCUGAGGCACCCCACCGCCGGCGUGAAGCCGGUGAGCGCCCGUUGGAGCACCCCCAAACCCUGUCUGUCAGUGUCGUCUGAGUAGCCAUACAAUCGUUAAAACUUUCAACAACGGAUCUCUUGGUUCCG
rnacentral:misc_RNA from 1 species